AACGAACGCUGGCGGCAUGCCUAACACAUGCAAGUCGAACGAGAUCUUCGGGUCUAGUGGCGCACGGGUGCGUAACGCGUGGGAAUCUGCCCUUUGGUUCGGAAUAACAGUUGGAAACGACUGCUAAUACCGGAUGAUGACGAAAGUCUAAAGAUUUAUCGCCAGAGGAUGAGCCCGCGUAGGAUUAGCUAGUUGGUGUGGUAAAGGCGCACCAAGGCGACGAUCCUUAGCUGGUCUGAGAGGAUGAUCAGCCACACUGGGACUGAGACACGGCCCAGACUCCUACGGGAGGCAGCAGUGGGGAAUAUUGGACAAUGGGCGAAAGCCUGAUCCAGCGAUGCCGCGUGAGUGAUGAAGGCCUUAGGGUUGUAAAGCUCUUUUACCCGGGAUGAUAAUGACAGUACCGGGAGAAUAAGCUCCGGCUAACUCCGUGCCAGCAGCCGCCGUAA
rnacentral:rRNA from 1 species